rnacentral:misc_RNA from 1 species
AUAUCUCAACCACAUCCUUUGGGCAUGGUGGCUUGGACUUGGAGGGAAUGUGCAGGCUUAAAAGAAAAGUCUGCUCCUCUGAAAAAUAUGAGCGGUACCUACAUUGGAACUCUGGCUAGGUGUGAUACAUAUCUGCAUCUAAUCAAAGGGUUACCCUAUUUUGGUUAUGCUGCUGAUCAUUACAAACUUUUGAUAA